GAGAUAACUAUCUGCUUUAAAAUCACCUUGUUAACAGUCAUUCACUCUGCGGAUAGUUUUGAAGACAGAGAGCAUAAUUAUAAGUAACAUUGCAAUUUUCAUUCUUGUAACUAUUUGAUUCAGCUAAGUUAAGCAUUCCUGUAGCUCAUUAUGGGACACAAUUUACAUCCCCGAAGUAAGAUUUGAGAGUGCAAUAAUGAGUGAGGCGGCGGCGGCCCUCCCUCAAAUGAAAGAAAACGGGAACACGGAACAAACCAUACCCAGACGCGAGCUGCUGAGGGGGCGGCGUGGACGCGGGUCAUUUCACUCUUAUAUUUCGCCUUUUAUUGAUUUACCGUGUGACGAGCGACGCGUGUGUUGCGACCGGUGUACGCCCGAGCCCUGCAGAGUGCCCAGGAUGACGGAGACCCGGCGGAAGGGCGAGACAAUGGUAGCCGUGUUCCUGUCACUACAUCAUCAGCGUAAACUUGUCCAGGAACACCACAACAUAGCCUUCGCCCUUAUUCUUGGUGGGCUGCUGUUUUUGCGACGCUCUACCGACCAAGCUGACCGCCGUCCUUUGAGGCGUCGAGUAAUCUUGGAAGCUGUGGUGCCCCUCUCUCCGCGGUGGUGGUGGUGGUGGUGGUGAUGGUGGUGGUGGUGGUGGAGCCUCCCUAAUUAUUCUCCAACUCGUCGACGUUUCCCAGACUCCGACCCCCGUGUUGGAACGGUUCGGUGUUGUGUUAUUCGGCUCAUCCUGAUUAUCCAAGACUCCUGAGAUCCCUGUGUCGACUGUUAGCAUACAUGGAGGCCGGCGGGAGAUAUGGAAGGGGUGCGUCGCUUCACUCACUUGCUGCCCAUAUUCCCGAUGGUCCCCCCCAAAGCAUGCUCCCACACAGCUGCUCCGUCCAUCCCAAAUUCGUCCCAGAAGGAUCGGCUGACUUGCCCCAGCCACAAGCUAUAUGGUAUUCAUAGCAAUGGUAUAUAUCAUAUUCAAAAAACAUUAUCAAUGACUCAGAAGUACCCAUAUAGUUCAACCCAGGACAAAACUAUAAAAUGUAAGCAUGACUUGGUUAGGAUAUGGCUAUUAUUGCAUUUCAGGAUAGUUGCUCAUAU